AGGCCGCGCUCUCGUCGGCAGCGGCGCGUUUCCCUGCGCGUCCCGCCGGUGGCCGGCGGGGCUGCGGCUCGGCUGCAUCCUUCAGGGAAGAAAGCCCCAGUCCCGGGACGGGUUUCUCCGCGCCGGCCGCUGCUGUGCGGCUCUGUGGCCACAGGGGUGUGGCUGAAAAGGAAGCUGGAAGGGCAGAGGCAGACUGCGCUUCCUGCGCUCAGAAGCAGGUGUGCCCUCUCAGCAGCAACAGCAUGUGGUCGAGUGCAGCUUGAUCUGUACGAAGAGUCAAGAUUCAGUGUUCUAUAACCAGCUCCUCGGUACAAGUGUGCUGCAUGACUUCAAACAGAGCACAAGAUACCACACCUGCCUAACUCUGAAGAGUGGGAUUGCCCCGUUCCUGUUGAUGCAUGCUCAUAAUCUGGACUCCAGCAGGACUGAGAGACACAUCUUGUCAGGCAACGGUAUAACAGAGGAUCCAAGGUGUCUUCUUCCCUUCAAUAUGGCCUGGGAGAAACCACCUUGUACCACUCUACAGCUGAUACUUCUUAGCUUGACAACCAUACCUCAGAGGGGUACAGGUGAGGCAGUCUUGUGCUCUGGAGGUCUUUACUCCUUAUGUAGC